rnacentral:rRNA from 1 species
AUGGCAUCCACUUCUUCCUUCCUCCGUUCUCCGGCCUCCUUCCAGCCGGCCACCGGAGCCUGCGGCCACGUCCGCUGGGCCCAGCCGUUGGCACCCCCCAAACCGCACCGCUCGCCACACCCGCCGGCGGCCACGCCCGGGGUGCCGCGCAGGCUCCUCCUGCCGGCGGCCGCUGGCAUCUGGGACUUCCUCUCCGGCGGUGCGGCCGGUGCGGCCGGUGCAGCUGCCGCGCCCCUUGCCGUCCGGCGAGGUAUGCAGCUCUUCCAGCAGGGAGACGUGGCUGGGUCAGUGGCGGAGUUCGAUCGCGCGAUCGAGCUGGAUCCGCGGCAGAAAGCAUAUCUCUGGCAGAGGGGACUGUCGCUGUAUUACCUCGACAGGUUCGAGGAGGCCGCCGAGCAGUUCAGGCUGGAUGUUGCUGCCAACCCCAAUGACACCGAGGAGUCGAUAUGGUGUUUCCUGUGUGAAGCUCAGCUGUAUGGGGUGGAGGAAGCAAGGAAGCGCUUCUUGGAGGUCGGUUUGGAUCGAAGACCUGUGAUGCGUGAAGCUUAUGCCUUGUUCAAAGAUGGUGGGGACCCUGAAAAGUUAGCUUCAAACUUUUCUACUAGUCCUGGUGGUGAACUCUUCUAUGCAUCAUUAUAUGCUGGACUUUACUAUGAAUCUCAGAAGGACGCAGACUUGGCAAAAUCGCAUAUUGUUGCUGCAUGCAAGACACCUUAUGGAUCAAGGUCUGGUGAUUACAUGGCUUCCCUUGCAGUGGUUCAUUGUCAGUGCCGCAACUGGACUCUGGAGGGAUAG